UACAGAGGUGGCAAGCGUUGUUCGGAAUUACUGGGCGUAAAGGGCGCGUAGGCGGUUCGUUAAGUCCUGUGUGAAAUCCCCCGGCUCAACUGGGGAACUGCACAGGAAACUAGCGGGCUUGAGUUCGGGAGAGGGAAGCGGAAUUCCGGGUGUAGCGGUGAAAUGCGUAGAUAUCAGGAGGAAUACCGAUGGCGAAGGCAGGUCUCUGGGCUGACACUGACGCUCAUGCACGAAAGCGUGGGAGCAAACAGG
rnacentral:rRNA from 1 species